GUAAACGAUGCUCGCUAGGUGUCAGGCAUGGCGCGACCGUGUCUGGUGCCGCAGGGAAGCCGUGAAGCGAGCCACCUGGGAAGUACGGCCGCAAGGCUGAAACUUAAAGGAAUUGGCGGGGGAGCACAACAACGGGUGGAGCCUGCGGUUUAAUUGGACUCAACGCCGGACAACUCACCGGGGGCGACAGCAAUAUGUAGGCCAAGCUGAAGACUUUGCCUGAAUCGCUGAGAGGAGGUGCAUGGCCGUCGCCAGUUCGUACUGUGAAGCAUCCUGUUAAGUCAGGCAACGAGCGAGACCCGUGCCCACUGUUACCAGCAUGUCCUCCGGGACGAUGGGUACUCUGUGGGGACC
rnacentral:rRNA from 1 species